rnacentral:tRNA from 4 species
GGGCCAGUAGCUUAGCGGCUAAAGCUUCAAGCUUAUACCUUGAUGAGCGAUGGUUCGAGUCCAUCCUGGCCCA